CAAGUGACCCCGGUCUAACCACCGGGAUGUUCAUAACCCUUUGUUGUCCGACUCUGUUGCCUCCGGGGCGACCCUGCCUUCGGGCGGGGGCUCCGGGUGGACACUUCAAACUCUUGCGUAACUUUGCAGUCUGAGUAAACUUAAUUAAUAAAUUAAAACUUUUAACAACGGAUCUCUUGGUUCUGGCAUCGAUGAAGAACGCAGCGAAAUGCGAUAAGUAAUGUGAAUUGCAGAAUUCAGUGAAUCAUCGAAUCUUUGAACGCACAUUGCGCCCCCUGGUAUUCCGGGGGGCAUGCCUGUUCGAGCGUCAUUUCACCACUCAAGCCUCGCUUGGUAUUGGGCAACGCGGUCCGCCGCGUGCCUCAAAUCGACCGGCUGGGUCUUCUGUCCCCUAAGCGUUGUGGAAACUAUUCGCUAAAGGGUGUUCGGGAGGCUACGCCGUAAAACAACCCCAUUUCUAAGGUUGACCUCGGAUCAGGUAGGGAUACCCGCUGAACUUAAGCAUA
rnacentral:rRNA from 1 species